GUGCUCACUUCAGCAGCACAUAUACUAAAAUUGGAACGACACAGAGAAGAUUAGCAUGGCUCCUGCGCAAGGGUGACACGCAAAUUCGUGAAGCGUUCCAUACUAAA
ensembl:snRNA U6 U6 spliceosomal RNA